ACGGGAGUAGCAAUACUCCAGUGGCGGACGGGUGAGUAACGCGUGAGAAUCUACCUUCAGGUCGGGGACAACCACGGGAAACGGUGGCUAAUACCGGAUAUGCCUUCGGGUAAAAGAUUUAUUGCCAGAAGAGGAGCUCGCGUCUGAUUAGCUAGUUGGUAGGGUAAAAGCCUACCAAGGCAUCGAUCAGUAGCUGGUCUGAGAGGACGAUCAGCCACACUGGGACUGAGACACGGCCCAGACUCCUACGGGAGGCAGCAGUGGGGAAUUUUCCGCAAUGGGCGAAAGCCUGACGGAGCAAGACCGCGUGAGGGAAGAAGGCUCUUGGGUCGUAAACCUCUUUUGUCAGGGAAGAACACAAUGACGGUACCUGACGAAUCAGCCUCGGCUAACUCCGUGCCAGCAGCCGCGGUAAUACGGAGGAGGCAAGCGUUAUCCGGAAUUAUUGGGCGUAAAGCGUCCGCAGGUGGCGAUUCAAGUCUGCGGUCAAAGACUGGGGCUUAACCCUGGAAAGGCCGUGGAAACUGAAGAGCUAGAGUGCAGUAGGGGUAGAGGGAAUUCCCGGUGUAGCGGUGAAAUGCGUAGAGAUUGGGAAGAACAUCGGUGGCGAAAGCGCUCUGCUGGACUGCAACUGACACUCAGGGACGAAAGCUAGGGGAGCGAAUGGGAUUAGAUACCCCAGUAGUCCUAGCCGUA
rnacentral:rRNA from 1 species